GAGAAAUUGGGCAUCAAAAGAUCUUCUAGGGUUGCUUGAUCAAGCUGCAUGCCAAUCCUUUUCUCUAAGUUUGAUAAACAAGAGCUUGCUUUUAGAAUCAAGGCUGUCCGAAGAAGACCAAACAGGAACUUGGUAGGGACUAGGCCCUUCUGCAUUGGAAGCAACCUAUCAAUAUCUUCAAGCAAAGCCUUCUGGUCUUCUUCUGAUGGUGGAGCCAAACCCACAGCCAUUAAACGGGAACUAGACUCACUAGCACCUUGACGCCUAUUCAACCCGGGCAGGUACUUUUUGGCAUAGAAAGCAAGGGAUCCAGCAAUAACCUCUUGUCUGACACCACGAGAUUCCAUUAUGGAAAUCAACCUCUUAUAGAGAGGUAAACUUAAAGUCAACACAUCCUCAUACCACCAAUCUGAACUUGAUUUUUUGGGUCUAGCCCCUGUGCUUAUCCC
rnacentral:misc_RNA from 1 species